rnacentral:misc_RNA from 1 species
AAAAAUUUAAGACAGUUCAAUUUCGUCCUCCAGAUCUAACGCUAACCAUAUGAACACUCACUGUAAAGAGCAAUCGAUUCGUUGAUUGAUCAAACUGAAAGUGCAGACAAUUUGCUAAGUAGUAGUAGUAAUAUAGAUUUAGAUGAAUCUAUUGAAGUUUUUACUUGCAGCUUGUUUGGCUUCUGGACUCGCAGCUAUUCUCAUCUACAUCACUGGCGUCGACACUCUACAUGGAUCAUAUCAUUUAUCUGAGGAGGAUUUGGAGGCGUUACACUCUCUACAGUCUGGUUUCCGGAAGUGCGUGAGUGCAAAUGGAUUAGGUUUACAAGCAGCAAGUGGCAGGGACUAUUGUGAGGUUACAAUGAAGUUUCCUGGUGAAACAGUACCAAAGUGGAAAGAUCCAAAAACUGGAGAACUUGAGGGCUUGUCAUAUGAGCUGAACUUAUGUGAAGCUGUGGCUACUUGGGAACAGGUGAGGAACAGUACCACAGUACUCACAAAGGAGUACAUUGAUGCCCUACCAAAUGGAUGGGAGGACUAU